rnacentral:rRNA from 1 species
CCCUUAGAUGUUCUGGGCCGCACGCGCGCUACACUGACGAAUGCAACGAGCUUAUAAUAACCUUGGCCGAAAGGUCUGGGUAAUCUCCAAAUUUCGUCGUGAUGGGGAUAGAUUAUUGCAAUUAUUAAUCUUCAACGAGGAAUGCCUAGUAAGCGCAAGUCAUCAGCUUGCGUUGAUUACGUCCCUGCCCUUUGUACACACCGCCCGUCGCUCCUACCGAUUGAAUGGUCCGGUGAAGCGUUCGGACCGUGGCCUUUGGACGGUUCGCCGUCUGUUGGCUGCGGGAAGUUCGCUAAACCUUAUCAUUUAGAGGAAGGAGAAGUCGUAACA